UCAUUCACCUUUUUCUCACCUACCUGACUCCGAGUACUUGAGGGUCAACUCUGGUGAGAAAAAGGUGAAUGAAAAAUCUUCUGGUCAUGGUGUUGAGGUGGAAGGAACUGGAUCGCGGAUUGUUUCCUCUCAACAUGGUAAUCAUUUAGCUGGAAGCUUCUCUAGAAUGAAUGAUUCAGCUGAAUCCUCUUAUACCGAGAGCCAAAAGAGUUAUGGAAAUUUGAGCACCUCAAGGGGAUCUGAUCAAACGAAAAAGGAGGUCACUUCCACUCAG
rnacentral:misc_RNA from 1 species